AACGAACGCUGGCGGCAUGCCUAACACAUGCAAGUCGAACGAGACCGUCGGGCCUAGUGGGGCACGGGUGCUGAACGCGUGAGAACUUGCCCGUGGGUUCGGAAUAACUCCCUGAAAGGGGUGCUAAUACCGGUUAAUGUCUUCGGACCAAAGAUUUAUCGCCUUUGGCUGGGCCCGGGUUGGAUUCGCUAGUUGGUAGUGUAAAAGCCUACCAUUGCGACGUUCCAUAGCUGGUGGGAGAGGAUGCUCCGCCACGCUGGGACUGCGACACGGCCCACAAUCGUACGGAAGAGAGCAGUGUGGAAUAUUAGGCACUGAGCGAAAGCGUGAUCAAGCAAUGCCGCGUGAGUGAUGAAGGCCUUAGGAUUGUAAAGCUCUCUUACCCGGGAUGUUAAUGACAGUACCGGGAGAAUAAGCUCCGGCUAACUACGUG
rnacentral:rRNA from 1 species